rnacentral:rRNA from 1 species
GAUGAACGCUGGCGGCGUGCCUAAUACAUGCAAGUCGAGCGAACGGACGAGAAGCUUGCUUCUCUGAUGUUAGCGGCGGACGAGUGAGUAACACGUGGAUAACCGACCUAUAAGACUGGGAUAACUUCGGGAAACCGGAUCUAAUACCGGAUAAUAUUUUGAACCUCAUGGUUCAAAAGUGAAAGACGGUCUUGCUGUCACUUAUAGAUUGAUCCGCGCUGCAUUAGCUAGUUGGUAAGGUAACGGCUUACCAAGGCAACGAUGCAUAGCCGACCUGAGAGGGUGAUCGGCCACACUGGAACUGAGACACGGUCCAGACUCCUACGGGAGGCAGCAGUAGGGAAUAUUCCGCAAUGGGCGAAAGCCUGACGGAGCAACGCCGCGUGAGUGAUGAAGGUCUUCGGAUCGUAAAACUCUGUUAUUAGGGAAGAACAUAUGUGUAAGUAACUGUGCACAUCUUGACGGUACCUAAUCAGAAAGCAACGGCUAACUACGUG